GGGGGAUAACUACUGGAAACGGUGGCUAAUACCGCAUAACGUCGCAAGACCAAAGAGGGGGACCUUCGGGCCUCUUGCCAUCAGAUGUGCCCAGAUGGGAUUAGCUUGUUGGUGAGGUAACGGCUCACCAAGGCGACGAUCCCUAGCUGGUCUGAGAGGAUGACCAGCCACACUGGAACUGAGACACGGUCCAGACUCCUACGGGAGGCAGCAGUGGGGAAUAUUGCACAAUGGGCGCAAGCCUGAUGCAGCCAUGCCGCGUGUAUGAAGAAGGCCUUCGGGUUGUAAAGUACUUUCAGCGGGGAGGAAGGUGUUGUGGUUAAUAACCGCAGCAAUUGACGUUACCCGCAGAAGAAGCACCGGCUAACUCCGUGCCAGCAGCCGCGGUAAUACGGAGGGUGCAAGCGUUAAUCGGAAUUACUGGGCGUAAAGCGCACGCAGGCGGUCUGUCAAGUCGGAUGUGAAAUCCCCGGGCUCAACCU
rnacentral:rRNA from 1 species